UACGGAGGGUGCGAGCGUUAAUCGGAAUUACUGGGCGUAAAGGGUGCGUAGGUGGUUUGAUAAGUUAUCUGUGAAAGUCCUGGGCUUAACCUAGGGAGGUCAGAUAAGACUGUUGAACUGGAGUAUAGGAGAGGGCAGUGGAAUUUCCGGUGUAGCGGUGAAAUGCGUAGAGAUCGGAAGGAACACCAGUGGCGAAGGCGGCUGCCUGGCCUGAUACUGACACUGAGGCACGAAAGCGUGGGGAGCAAACAGG
rnacentral:rRNA from 1 species